rnacentral:rRNA from 1 species
GAGUUUGAUCCUGGCUCAGGAUGAACGCUAGCGGCAGGCCUAACACAUGCAAGUCGAGGGGCAGCACGGUGUAGCAAUACACUGGUGGCGACCGGCGCACGGGUGCGUAACGCGUAUGCAACCUACCCAUAACAGGGGGAUAACACUGAGAAAUUGGUACUAAUACCCCAUAACAUCAGGACCGGCAUCGGUUCUGGUUGAAAACUCCGGUGGUUAUGGAUGGGCAUGCGUUGUAUUAGCUGGUUGGUGAGGUAACGGCUCACCAAGGCAACGAUACAUAGGGGGACUGAGAGGUUAACCCCCCACAUUGGUACUGAGACACGGACCAAACUCCUACGGGAGGCAGCAGUGAGGAAUAUUGGUCAAUGGACGCAAGUCUGAACCAGCCAUGCCGCGUGCAGGAAGACGGCUCUAUGAGUUGUAAACUGCUUUUGUACGAGGGUAAACGCUCUUACGUGUAAGAGCCUGAAAGUAUCGUACGAAUAAGGAUCGGCUAACUCCGUGCCAGCAGCCGCGGUAAUACGGAGGAUCCAAGCGUUAUCCGGAUUUAUUGGGUUUAAAGGGUGCGUAGGCGGUUUGAUAAGUUAGAGGUGAAAUACCGGUGCUUAACACCGGAACUGCCUCUAAUACUGUUGAACUAGAGAGUAGUUGCGGUAGGCGGAAUGUAUGGUGUAGCGGUGAAAUGCGUAGA